AUUCUGGAUAACGUCCACUACCUGAUCUCAGUGCGUAACUAGUCAUAAACUCUUCCCUUUAGCUGAUUCAAUGUGAUUCUGUACAUAAGAAGUCACAUAUAGGUUGUGUCACUCCUUUCUGAGUGCACAGAAAACACUUUUAUUCCACAGAGCUCAGAGAGAUGAGCAGCAGCUCUCCAUCAUCCCAACCCUGGAUCGGCGAGCCAUGAAACAGCUGAUCCUGGAUCGCGCAACACAUCCGGAGGUCAGGGCCAUUCUAGAGAAUCUGCUGCUUUACCAAAGCCAAGACCUACCAAACUCUCCGUCAGCAGCCUUAGGAAGAGCUGGUCCACGUCUCACUGCCUUCCAGCUGCUCAGAUCUAAGUUUCUGAGGAGCGUGGCAAAGCCAGCGCUCACCCGCAGAAGAGAGGUGGGCUCUCUGAACACGAAAGAACGACAUAUUAAAGACACAAACGGGCUGAGAGCUGAUUCAAGACCCGGGAUGAAGAGAAAAGCCUCCAGGGUUCAGAACAUGCUGGAGAGAUUUACAGCAGCAGAGAACAACAACAUAAAGAAACCACAAACAAACAGACGAACAGGCAGAACCAUGUUCCGCAGUUUAAUCAAGAGAUUUGAGACUCUAGUGACGGAGCAGAGCAGAAACGAUUCUACACACAAGAUCAAGAGACACAAGAAUGAAUCAACUGAUUCACAAGAGACACUAAAGCAACACGAGAACAAAUCAACCAAUUCACAAGAAAUAUUAAAGCAACACAAGAACGAAUUGACCGAUUCAAAAGAAGCACUAAAGCAAUACGAGAACAAAUCAAUUGAUUCACUAGUACUUAAGCAACACAAGAAUGAAUCAACCGAUUCACAAGAAACACUAAAGCAACACAAGAAUGAAUCAACUUAUUCACAAGAAGCACUAAAGCAACACAAGAACAAAUCAAACAACGAACAAGAAUCACUACAGAAACACAAGAAUGAAUCAACCAAUUCACAAGAAGCACUAAAGCAACACAAGAACAAAUCAAACAACGAACAAGAAUCACUACAGAUUCU
rnacentral:lncRNA from 1 species